CGGAGGCAGCAGUAAGGAAUUUCGCGCAAUGGGGGAAACCCUGACGCAGCAACGCCGCGUGAGUGAUGAAGGCCUUCGGGUCGUAAAGCUCUGUCAGAGGGAAAGAAGUGUGGGGAGGCUAAUACCCUUUUCACUUGACGGUACCCUCAAAGGAAGCACCGGCUAACUCCGUGCCAGCAGCCGCGGAAAUACGGAGGGUGCGAGCGUUGUUCGGAAUUAUUGGGCGUAAAGCGCGUGUAGGCGGUUUUUUAAGUCUGAUGUGAAAGCCCUGGGCUCAACCCGGGAAGUGCAUUGGAAACUGCGAGACUUGAAUACGGGAGAGGGUAGUGGAAUUCCUGGUGUAGGAGUGAAAUCCGUAGAUAUCAGGAGGAACACCGGUGGCGAAGGUGGCUGCCUGGACCGAUAUUGACGCUGAGACGCGAAAGCGUGGGGAGCAAACAGGAUUAGAUACCCUGGUAGU
rnacentral:rRNA from 1 species